CUUGUCACUGUGAAGGGAAAGCCCACCGAAGAAUGACACCAACAUAGAGGGAAGUAAGCAGAGCCAAGAGGUUGGCAGAGGUGGUUCCUGGUGCCAUUAUCCAGCACCCAGCUACAGACCAGAGAGCUUCAUAAACCUAUUUUUGACCGCAGGGAGAGGCCUAUGCUAGACCACAUCAUGGAACACCUAUGGAUCAACACUGGUCAGGAGGAGACACGAAAGCCAUUCCAGGAGCUGCUCACUGAUCACCAGGACUCCUGAAAGACAGAACUCAUGGUUUCCGUGGGAUAUGAGGCAGACCACAUCCAGUCCUUGUUAGAACAACAAUUUGAUGAUACCAUGGCCUGGUACUGAAUCCUGGGCUACAGGAAACCUGACGCAGGGCUCCCUCAUCACAGUGAAGUCUUGCCUUCAGUGGAUCCCACCCAACAGCCACUAGCCUUUCCCAUAACCUGAAAGAAACUCUUAUGCUUUAACAUACAAAACUUGUUAAGAACAUUGGGAAAAGGU